rnacentral:rRNA from 1 species
AGAGUUUGAUCCUGGCUCAGAACGAACGCUGGCGGCGCGUCUUAAGCAUGCAAGUCGAACGGGAACUAGAAGCUUGCUUCUAGCGAGAGUGGCGGACUGGUGAGUAACACGUGGGUGACGUACCCUAAGGAUGGGGAUAGCCUGUAGAAAUACGGGGUAAUACCGAAUACGCUCGUUGCAGUAAAGCGCAAUGAGGAAAGAUGCUACGGCAUCACCUAAGGAACGGCCCGCGGACUAUUAGCUAGUUGGUAUGGUAACGGCAUACCAAGGCGACGAUAGUUAUCCGGCCUAAGAGGGUGAACGGACACAUUGGGACUGAGAUACGGCCCAGACUCCUACGGGAGGCAGCAGCUAAGAAUAUUCCGCAAUGGGGGGAACCCUGACGGAGCGACGCCGCGUGAACGAUGAAGGCCGGAAGGUUGUAAAGUUCUUUUAACCAAGAAGAAAAAGUUAUAUAGGGAAUGAUGUAAUGAUGACGGUAUUGGUUGAAUAAGCAACGGCUAAUUACGUGCCAGCAGCCGCGGUAACACGUAAGUUGCGAGCGUUGUUCGGAAUUAUUGGGCGUAAAGGGCAUGUAGGCGGUAUUGCAAGCCUGGUGUGAAAGGCGGGGGCUCAACCCUUGGACUGCGCUGGGAACUGCAUUACUAGAGUCGCUGAGGGGCAAUCAGAAUUCCAGGUGUAGGGGUGAAAUCUGUAGAUAUCUGGAAGAAUACCAAUGGCGAAGGCAGGUUGCCAGCAGAUGACUGACGCUGAGGUGCGAAGGUGCGGGGAGCAAACAGGAUUAGAUACCCUGGUAGUCCGCACAGUCAACGAUGUACACUGGAUGUCUGGAAUAAAAUCUGGGUGUCGAAGCAAACGCGAUAAGUGUACCGCCUGGGGAGUAUGCCCGCAAGGGUGAAACUCAAAGGAAUUGACGGGGGCCCGCACAAGCGGUGGAGUAUGUGGCUUAAUUCGAUGCAACGCGAAGAACCUUACCUGGGCUUGACAUGUAAUGAACAACAUGUGAAAGCACGCGACUCUUCGGAGGCGUUACACAGGUGCUGCAUGGCCGUCGUCAGCUCGUGUCGUGAGAUGUUUGGUUAAGUCCAGCAACGAGCGCAACCCCUGUUACCAGUUACCAGCACGUGAAGGUGGGGACUCUGGCGAGACUGCCCAGAUCAACUGGGAGGAAGGUGGGGACGACGUCAGGUCAGUAUGGCCCUUAUGCCCAGGGCUGCACACAUACUACAAUGCCCAGUACAGAGGGGGCCGAAGCCGCGAGGCGGAGGAAAUCCUAAAAACUGGGCCCAGUUCGGACUGUAGGCUGCAACCCGCCUACACGAAGCCGGAAUCGCUAGUAAUGGCGCAUCAGCUACGGCGCCGUGAAUACGUUCCCGGGUCUUGCACUCACCGCCCGUCA